AUUGAACGCUGGCGGCAGGCCUAACACAUGCAAGUCGAACGAAGUCUUCGGACUUAGUGGCGGACGGGUGAGUAACACGUGGGAACGUACCUUUUGGUUCGGAACAACUCAGGGAAACUUGAGCUAAUACCGGAUGAGCCCUUAGGGGGAAAGAUUUAUCGCCGAAAGAGCGGCCCGCGUUAGAUUAGCUAGUUGGUGAGGUAAAGGCUCACCAAGGCUACGAUCUAUAGCUGGUCUGAGAGGAUGAUCAGCCACACUGGGACUGAGACACGGCCCAGACUCCUACGGGAGGCAGCAGUGGGGAAUCUUGCGCAAUGGGCGAAAGCCUGACGCAGCCAUGCCGCGUGAAUGAUGAAGGUCUUAGGAUUGUAAAAUUCUUUUACCAGGGACGAUAAUGACGGUACCUGGAGAAAAAGCCCCGGCUAACUUCGUGCCAGCCGCCGCGGUAAUAC
rnacentral:rRNA from 1 species